AACCAAGAUCGAAAUUAAAAUUUCAAACAAGAUCGAAAUUAAAAAUUUCUAGAAUCAAAUCAACACAAGAAUUUUGAAGAGAGAAGGCGUGGUGCGCAGAUCGACGCGGGUGGACGGCGGACGUGGACGACGCGAGUAAAUCCCCCAAAUCGUUGGAAGCACGACGGCGGUGGAAGGAAGCAUCGACGCGGGUGGACGGCGGUGGAGCCCCAAAUCGGAGCCCUAAAUCCCCAAACUCACCGCCGACUUCCCUUCGUCCCCAAAUCCACGAGGCUUCUUCUCCGCGAGGCCGACCAUGUCGCCGACGAUGGAGGCGGCGCUGGAGGAAAGCGGCGUGUUAGAGGAGGGCGGCGCACUGGAGGAAGGAGUGAGGCCAAAGGUGUCGGCUACUGGUAGCAGCGAGCAAGCUUCUUCUUGUCGGUGACGCCCCCUCCUUCGCAAGCUUGAAGCUUUCUCGGCCGCCGGUCAUUUCUUCGCCGCGGGCUUCUUCUCCGGAGGCGGCGGCGUGAAGCUGGCGAAAGAUGAGAGACGAAGAGAGAGAGCGGAAGAUGAGAGACGAAGAGAGAGAGAGAGCUAAAAUUGAAAUGAGUAUAAUUAGGGAGAAA
rnacentral:lncRNA from 1 species